CAUUAAAUCACUCCCUUUGUUCCAGUCUUUUCUUAGGUCACUUGUCACUUCCAAGAGCUGACACAAUUCGGAUCAUCUCAUCUGCUGUGUGUGCCACAGGCCCUGGAAUUUCUUGUACCGGACCAAACCAUUUCUCUUUGAGCAGGGCAUAUAUUGAAGAUCAUUCCUGCCAAGACCCAUCUGUGGCAAAGUGUAUGAGGACUGUGUUUUAGUUUGGCUCGUAUCUUUGAUUUCAAUGAUUUCAAAAAAACAAACAUAAAAAAACCACAGCCCACGACUGUGUUUUCAGGACAGCCUACUUAAGAAAUAGUUUUCGGAAGUUCUUCACUCCAGGGUACUUUCAGGAGGCUUCCAGCAGGUUGCCCAUUUGGAGUUUGGAAAAUGGUAGACUCAGAUGAGCUGAAGCAGGCCUGCCAGUCCACCCUAGAACUCAACUGGUACUAAGGGUGGGCUCGGCCACCACCACGGAAAACACAGGAGUGCGAGUU